UAUGAAGGGGGCUAGCGUUGCUCGGAAUCACUGGGCGUAAAGGGUGCGUAGGCGGGUCUUUAAGUCAGGGGUGAAAUCCUGGAGCUCAACUCCAGAACUGCCUUUGAUACUGAAGAUCUUGAGUUCGGGAGAGGUGAGUGGAACUGCGAGUGUAGAGGUGAAAUUCGUAGAUAUUAGGAAGAACACCAGUGGCGAAGGCGGCUCACUGGUCCGGUACUGACGCUGAGGUGCGAAAGCGUGGGGAGCAAACAGG
rnacentral:rRNA from 1 species